rnacentral:lncRNA from 1 species
GACGAUAAAAAGUCUACGUCAGGAUGUGUGUUCUUUUGCGAUAGCGGCUUGGUGUAUUGGAAGAGUUCCAAACAACCACCCUACCAUGGAAGCAGAGUAUAUCGCCGCAUUUGAUGUAGGCCUUCUGAUUCAUAAAGUUUGUCGCGGAAUUAAGUGUGAUGCCAUCGGAUGUCAUACCACUCUAGUGCGACAAAAAUGGCGCCAUAGCCCUAGCUAAGGAGCCCAGGU